AACGCACCUUGCGCUCCUUGGUAUUCCGAGGAGCAUGCCUGUUUGAGUGUCAUUAAAUUCUCAACCUUAUUAGCUUUUGCUGAUAAUGGCUUGGACUUGGGGGUCUUUUUGCUGGCUUUCAUUAGUCUGCUCCCCUUAAAUGUAUUAGCCGGUGCCCCGCAGUGGAACCGUCUAUUGGUGUGAUAAUUAUCUACGCCGUGGACGUCUGCUAUAAUGGGUUUGCGCUGCUUCUAACCGUCUCUCGGGACAACACAAAUGACAGUUUGACCUCAAAUCAGGUAGGACUACCCGCUGAACUUAA
rnacentral:misc_RNA from 1 species